UCAGUCGACUCCUACGGGGAGGCAGCAGUGGGGAAUAUUGCACAAUGGGGGAAACCCUGAUGCAGCCAUGCCGCGUGUGUGAAGAAGGCCUUCGGGUUGUAAAGCACUUUCAGUAGGGAGGAAGGUAGUGUAGUUAACACCUGCACUUAUUUGACGUUACCUACAGAAGAAGCACCGGCUAACUCCGUGCCAGCAGCCGCGGUAAUACGGAGGGUGCGAGCGUUAAUCGGAAUUACUGGGCGUAAAGCGCAUGCAGGCGGCCUGUUAAGUCAGAUGUGAAAGCCCGGGGCUUAACCUCGGAAUUGCAUUUGAAACUGGCAGGCUAGAGUCUUGUAGAGGGGGGUAGGAAUUUCAGGUGUAGCGGUGAAAUGCGUAGAGAUCUGAAGGAAUACCAGUGGCGAAGGCGGCCCCCUGGACAAAGACUGACGCUCAGAUGCGAAAGCGUGGGGAGCAAACAGGAUUAGAUACCCUGGUAG
rnacentral:rRNA from 1 species